rnacentral:rRNA from 1 species
UACGGAGGAUGCAAGCGUUAUCCGGAUUUAUUGGGUUUAAAGGGUGCGCAGGUUGUUUGAUAAGUCAGUGGUGAAAGUCUGUCGCUUAACGGUAGGAUUGCCAUUGAUACUGUUAGACUUGAAUAUGGAUGAGGUAGGCGGAAUGUGUAGUGUAGCAGUGAAAUGCAUAGAUAUUACACAGAACACCGAUUGCGAAGGCAGCUUACUAAUCCAUCAUUGACGCUGAGGCACGAAAGCGUGGGGAUCAAA